ensembl:snRNA U6 U6 spliceosomal RNA
AUAUUCACUUUGGAAGCACAUAUACUAAAAUUGGAAAAAUAAAGAGAAGACUAGCAUGGCCCCUGCACAAACAUAACACGCAAAUUCGUGAAGCAUUGCGUAUUUUU